CGUCGCAAAGAAUGUGUGUUAGCGCGCCUCAGCUCGUCCACUACGCAGCGGCAUGUAUGCGGGGAGUAACAUCGUCGACGCAGCACCGGCAACUUGGAGAGUGCUUCGCGACCGCGUCGUACCAUUCAAAAGUGGCGAGGCUGUGACCCAUAACAGUGCCUACAUAACGGAGGAGCCACCAGACCCCUUGGCUAUGCCUGCCGUAGUGCAACGUAUAAUCUGGAUGGUCGGGUCAGGUAUGUAUGUAGUGUACGUGUUCCAAAAAGUAGCAUCUUGGUAUCAUUUGUGGAUAAGUUAAUCGACAUUAGUCAACACAGCUUACUAAAUAGGCCAAAUAUUUAUGCAACUUGCUGUUUAUUUGUGUUCAUAGCUGUUAUGCACACCUUAUUGUGUUCUAUAUAAAAGUAGACCUAACAUGUCCUGAUGUUAAGUAUUUUUUCUUGCAUCAAUCGCUUGGCUGCAAGUUACAUUUUAAUUUUGCUUAGUACACACUAUUUAUUACUUUUCAUUUUGGUUUUAUUGUUUUGAAACUGUUUCCUAUGCUGUAGGAUUUUAUUUCCGAAUUUUUAGUGUUUACACUACACUCUUGUGCAGCUUCUGCGCAUAUAAGAAUUCAAAGUGUAAUGGGCCAGAUAUGUCAUAGGUGUAAGCACACAGUGUGCUUACCAUUGUUUAACAUUCAUAUUCACGAUUAUUUCUGUCUUGUUCCAAGAAUAACUGCCACUGGAAAAUACACAUUUGAUGAGCUCAAACUUCUUGAAAUGAUACAUUAAGGCCAGUAUUCACUGUGCUGCAGUUACUACAGUUCUGAAGUGUUUUCUAGUAAGCCUGCUUUUUUCUCUCCCAUUUUUUAAUAUUCUUGGCAAGCUAUCCCCAUUCAUGCAAGUAGGCAUUGUAGGAGUUGCGAGUCUAUGUCCAGUUACAUUAUUUUUCUCUUUUUUUCAAGUCAAUACAGCAUAGAACACAUAGCUAACUGGUAGGUAGUUCAUUGUAUUGAUGCUCUAUUAUUAAAAAAAGCACACUAUUUCGCACAUGUCUGCUUGCUCUUGCCAUGUUUGCUGGUUAUUGCAAUGUUGCUCGUCAAAUGAAUUUGAUUUCAACUACACCAUACAGAACAGUCUUAUUGGCUUUAGUGUAAUUUUAAUAGUGACAAUCAACCAACAAGCCCUAAUUCUACAGCUGUCAAGAAGUAUUUCUAAUACUUUGGGGUCCCUUUCCAUAUUUUCUGUUUCAUCCUGUGUAUUUGGUCAGCACAGUGGGCAUUCGGUCUAUUCAUUCUGCUUGGCGCUGCUCAGGUCAGAAUAUGUU